GCGUUACCCUAUAAAAGCAGAGCCAUCUCUCCACUCUGCACUAGAACACCUGAUCACUACAACCUUCAAGCGCACCACCGCACCGAGGAAGAACACACACACAGUUGCAGCAAUGAAUUGUGCUUCAACUGAUGUCCUUCACAUACCAACAGCCAAAGCGUCUGCAAAAAAAA